rnacentral:rRNA from 1 species
UACGUAGGGGGCAAGCGUUGUCCGGAAUCAUUGGGCGUAAAGAGCGUGUAGGCGGCUCGGUAAGUCCGCUGUAAAAGUCAAAGGCUCAACCUUUGAAUGUCAGUGGAUACUGCCGGGCUAGAGUCCGGAAGAGGCGAGUGGAACUCCUGGUGUAGCGGUGGAAUGCGCAGAUAUCAGGAAGAACACCGACGGCGAAGGCAGCUCGCUGGGACGGUACUGACGCUGAGGCGCGAAAGCGUGGGGAGCGAACAGG